rnacentral:rRNA from 1 species
GGUCAAGUUAAUAAGAGCAUAGGGCGGAUGCCUUGGCACUAGGAGCCGAAGAAGGACGUGGUAAGCUGCGAAAAG